rnacentral:rRNA from 1 species
GACGAACGCUGGCGGCGUGCCUAAUACAUGCAAGUAGAACGCACAGUUUAUACCGUAGCUUGCUACACCAUAAACUGUGAGUUGCGAACGGGUGAGUAACGCGUAGGUAACCUGCCUGGUAGCGGGGGAUAACUAUUGGAAACGAUAGCUAAUACCGCAUAAUAUUGAUUAUUGCAUGAUAAUUGAUUGAAAGAUGCUAUUGCAUCACUACCAGAUGGACCUGCGUUGUAUUAGCUAGUAGGUGAGGUAACGGCUCACCUAGGCGACGAUACAUAGCCGACCUGAGAGGGUGAUCGGCCACACUGGGACUGGGACACGGCCCAGACUCCUACGGGAGGCAGCAGUAGGGAAUCUUCGGCAAUGGACGAAAGUCUGACCGAGCAACGCCGCGUGAGUGAAGAAGGUUUUCGGAUCGUAAAGCUCUGUUGUAAGAGAAGAACGGGUGUGAGAGUGGAAAGUUCACACUGUGACGGUAGCUUACCAGAAAGGGACGGCUAACUACGUG